GUGACCUAACAGGAGCCUGAGUGUAUGAGUAGGCGGUGGAGAGGAGACAUGGGGAGAGCAGACCAGCUCGAGGAGGGACACACAGAGCUACAGCGGAUCCUGGAGAACCCGGAGAGGGUGUCUGGGCCCUCAGGCCCCUUCCUUGCCUGGUUCCAGAGGAGCUGUGGGUCGUGGGCAGGUAGAACAGACACUAAGUGUUGGCCAGGUGGCUAGCUAAUAACUGAGUAUGUGUGGGGAGGUUUGCCCAGAAGGGGUGGAUUUCCUAGAGCUCCUUGUCCCUGGAGCCUAGGAGCCUGAGGGCCCGUGGUUGGGACGUGUCGGGAAGGCGUCCUUUGGAGGCUGAGAAGAGCUCUGGGAGUUUGGGUGGUGGAUCUGGGAAGCGCUGUCCUCUCCACCUUGUCUCUUUGCUUCCCCAGAGGGUGACUGGCGUGGCCAGGCAAGAAGGGGCCCGACACUGAACACUCUUGGCAGCUAUUGACACUCACCUCUGGAAACGUGACCCAGCUGAGCCCGAAGGCUCUGGUUUUCUUCCCUCAGGACUCUGUCCUCAUUGUAGAGCUGAGGUGUGGACUGCAGGCCCGGACUGGAGAAGGUCGAGGGGGAUCCUGACCCAGAACAUGCAAGAAGGCAGGUUACACAGGAGCAGGUGGAGGAAAGCAGACCUCAGUGCUCUGCCAUCUGUGAAGCUCAGCCUAAGGGUGGCCUUCAGAAGCCCCCUCAUUGUGACCAGGAGUGGGAAGCCCUGGGCCUCUCCUUCCUGUUCAGGGGGCAGUGGAGCUGAGCCUGUGUUGCAGCUGCUCCCUCAGGCGGUCAUUAAAAAUGGUGGACUCCUCCAGGUGCUGGCUAAGGUUCCGGAUUUCACCAAGAUGCUCCUGUGGCAGG